rnacentral:rRNA from 1 species
CACGUAGGGCGCAAGCGUUGUCCGGAAUUAUUGGGCGUAAAGAGCUCGUAGGCGGUCUGUUACGUCUGCUGUGAAAACCCGGGGCUUAACCCUGGGCUUGCAGUGGAUACGGGCAGACUAGAGGCAGGUAGGGGAGAAUGGAAUUCCCGGUGUAGCGGUGAAAUGCGCAGAUAUCAGGAAGAACACCCGUGGCUAAGGCGGCUCUCUAGUACGGUACUGACGCUGAGACGCGAAAGCGUGGGGAGCGAACAGG